ACGAACGCUGGCGGCCUGCCUAACACCUGCCAGUCGCACGAGACCUUCGGGUCUAGUGGCGCACGGGUGCGUAACGCGUGGGAACCUGCCCUUAGGUUCGGAAUAACUCCCCGAAAGGGGUGCUAAUACCGGAUAAUGUCUUCGGACCAAAGAUUUAUCGCCUUUGGAUGGGCCCGCGUUGGAUUAGCUAGUUGGUAGGGUAAAAGCCUACCAAGGCGACGAUCCAUAGCUGGUCUGAGAGGAUGAUCAGCCACACUGGGACUGAGACACGGCCCAGACUCCUACGGGAGGCAGCAGUGGGGAAUAUUGGACAAUGGGCGAAAGCCUGAUUCAGCAAUGCCGCGUGAGUGAUGAAGGCCUUAGGGUUGUAAAGCUCUUUUACCCGGGAUGAUAAUGACAGUACCGGGAGAAUAAGCUCCGGCUAACUCCGUG
rnacentral:rRNA from 1 species